UUUUUUUUAAUCUCUUAUGCUCUGGAUAAGAUGGACGUCUUUCCUCUGACCUGUUACCAAGACAGCUGGAUGUGUAAGAAGCUGGAACUAAGCCACUGAAGAAGUAAACCAAUGAAAACCGAUUUGGAUUGUCUGAGAGAUGACACAAGUAAAAGGAGAAGAAUGCUGCUCAGCUGGGUUGGCGAAGCUCUUGGAUAUCAUCAGCACAUGUAUGAAGCACAGAGUCAUUCCGGUAGGCACAGAGUUGUUCCUCGAUGGACGUGAUGACCUGGGACCAAAACUGCUUAAUGUGUAUGAGGCUGUGUCUGCAUCGAGGGAAGAACCCAGCACUGAAAUGACACAAAUGAAAGAAGAGUACUUCUGCUCUGCUGGGUCUGCGACACUACUUAUCCGAGGAGUCCUCAAACAUCAGGAUGUAGGAAGACACAAGUAAAAGGAGAAGAAUGCUGCUCAGCUGGGUCGGCGGUCACACUACUUAUUCAAGAAGCUCUUGGAUAUCAUCGGCAUGUAUAAAGCACAGUCAUUCCGG